rnacentral:lncRNA from 1 species
UAACUCAUUUACUUGUCGUGAACUCUUGCAGCAAGGUUAUCAAUUGAUCGUGUACAUAUGAUUCUAUUUCCUCAAUAGAAUAUAUACUGAGCAGUUUGUAUAGGAAAAAUAACAAAUUUUCGAUUUAGUAUAAAUUAGAUAUAAAUCGAUUGCCCGAUUGUAAAUAUUUAUUGAUCAUUAAAAGAUUACACACGCUUAAUAUUAAAUCUUUAAUUGAGUUUGAUAAAAAAAAUGUCAUUUAAAGUUUUGUUAUUAUCAAUUAUCUUCAUAGUAUCAAUCUGUACUAACACAAUUCAAGCAUGCGAUGGAGAACGAUGCGAUCCUUAUGGUCAGGGUCAAUGUUGCUUUGGUUAUCUAUGUGACCUUGAUUCGAGGGAAUGCUCAUCAGUUUAUUUCUACGGCAACAAUAGUCCUUUUUUUGGGAAAUGAAAAAGUUAGAAAACCACUUUAGUCUAAACAAAAUUUCUGAAAUGACAUCGAUUGUAAUAUCAAUUGAAUUAACAUUAUAAAUCGCAGAAAUUAUUUCAAAACAAAGAAA